rnacentral:rRNA from 1 species
CACGUAGGCGGGUUGUUAAGUUGGGGUGAAAUCCUGGAGCUCAACUCCAGAACUGCCUCCAAAACUGGCGAUCUUGAGUUCGGGAGAGGUGAGUGGAACUGCGAGUGUAGAGGUGAAAUUCGUAGAUAUUCGCAAGAACACCAGUGGCGAAGGCGGCUCACUGGCCCGAUACUGACGCUGAGGCACGAAAGCGUGGGAGCAAACA